UACAGAGGGUGCAAGCGUUGUUCGGAAUUAUUGGGCGUAAAGCGCGUGUAGGCGGCGAAGCAAGUCGGGUGUGAAAUCCCUCAGCUUAACUGAGGAAGUGCGCUCGAAACUGUUUUGCUUGAGUACCGGAGAGGGUGGCGGAAUUCCCCAAGUAGAGGUGAAAUUCGUAGAUAUGGGGAGGAACACCGGUGGCGAAGGCGGCCACCUGGACGGAUACUGACGCUGAGACGCGAAAGCGUGGGUAGCAAACAGG
rnacentral:rRNA from 1 species